rnacentral:tRNA from 1 species
GCCGGCGUGGCCGAGUGGUAAGAGGUUGGAUGGCUCUUCCAUCUCUGCUCACGAUAUCGCUGGUUCGAUUCCCGCCGCUGGCC